rnacentral:rRNA from 1 species
CCUACGGGUGGCUGCAGUGGGGAAUAUUGCACAAUGGGCGCAAGCCUGAUGCAGCCAUGCCGCGUGUGUGAAGAAGGCCUUCGGGUUGUAAAGCACUUUCAGCGGGGAGGAAGGCGUUAAGGUUAAUAACCUUGUCGAUUGACGUUACCCGCAGAAGAAGCACCGGCUAACUCCGUGCCAGCAGCCGCGGUAAUACGGAGGGUGCAAGCGUUAAUCGGAAUUACUGGGCGUAAAGCGCACGCAGGCGGUCUGUCAAGUCGGAUGUGAAAUCCCCGGGCUCAACCUGGGAACUGCAUUCGAAACUGGCAGGCUAGAGUCUUGUAGAGGGGGGUAGAAUUCCAGGUGUAGCGGUGAAAUGCGUAGAGAUCUGGAGGAAUACCGGUGGCGAAGGCGGCCCCCUGGACAAAGACUAACGCUCAGGUGCGAAAGCGUGGGGAGCAAACAGGAUUAGAUACCCUAGUAGUC